rnacentral:rRNA from 1 species
GCUACCGCUAUUGGAGUUCGAUUAAGCCAUGCGAGUCGUGAGUCCUAGGGACUCGGCAUACCGCUCAGUAACACGUGGGUAACCUGCCCUAUGCUGGGGAAUAACCUCGGGAAACUGAGAAUAAUGCCCCAUAGUUCACCACACCUGGAACGGUGGGUGGAUGAAAGCUCCGGCGGCAUAGGAUGGGCCUGCGGCGUAUCAGGUUGUAGGGGGUGUAAUGUACCCUCCAGCCAUCUACGCGUACGGGUGUUGAGAGACAUCGCCCGGAGAUGGAUUCCGAGACACGAAUCCAGACCCUACGGGGUGCAGCAGGCGCGAAAACUUGGCAAUGCGAGCAAUCGUGACCAGGGAACUCCAAGUGCAUCGGGUAAGACCGAUGCUUUUCUUGACUCUUCAAAGGUCUUGGAAUAAGGGGUGGGUAAGGACGGUGCCAGCCGCCGCGGUAAUACCGGCGCCUCAAGUGGUAGUCGCUUUUAUUGGGCCUAAAACGUCCGUAGCCGGUUUGGUACAUUCGUGGGUAAAUCAAGACGCUCAACGUCUUGAAUUCUGCGAGCACGGCCAGACUUGGGACCGGGUGAGGUGUGGGGUACUCUCAGGGUAGGGGUAAAAUCCUGUCAUCCUGAGAGGACCACCUGUUGCGAAGGCGCCACACUAGAACGGAUCCGACGGUCAGGGACGAAGCCUAAGGGGCACGAACCGGAUUAGAUACCCGGGUAGUCCUAGGUGUAAACGCUGUGGACUUGAUGUUGGGAGUGCUCCGAGCACCCUCAGUGUCGAAGCGAAGGUGAUAAGUCCACUGCCUGGGGAGUACGGUCGCAAGGCUGAAACUUAAAGGAAUUGGCGGGGGAGCACUGCAACCUGAGGAUUGUGCGGUUUAAUUGGAUUCAACGCCGGA